ACGGGAGGCAGCAGCUAAGAAUAUUCCGCGAUGGACGAAAGUCUGACGGAGCGACGCCGCGUGGAUGAUGAAGGUCGGAAGAUUGUAAAAUCCUUUUAUGACUGAGGAAUAAGUGUGGUGAGAGAAACGCCAUAUGGUGACUGUAGGUCAUGAAUAAGCAACGGCUAAUUACGUGCCAGCAGCCGCGGUAACACGUAAGUUGCGAGCGUUGUUCGGAAUUAUUGGGCGUAAAGGGCAUGUAGGCGGUUUUGCAAGCUUGGUGUGAAAGGCAGGAGCUUAACUCCUGGACUGCGUUGAGAACUGCAUAACUAGAGUGACUGAGGGGCAGGCAGAAUUCCAGGUGUAGGGGUGAAAUCUGUAGAUAUCUGGAAGAAUACCAAUGGCGAAGGCAGCCUGCCAGCAGAUGACUGACGCUGAGGUGCGAAGGUGCGGGGAGCAAACAGGAUUAGAUACCCUGGUA
rnacentral:rRNA from 1 species